rnacentral:rRNA from 1 species
CGGCGGACGGGUGAGUAACACGUGGAUAACUUACCUAUAAGACUGGGAUAACUUCGGGAAACCGGAGCUAAUACCGGAUAAUAUAUUGAACCGCAUGGUUCAAUAGUGAAAGACGGUUUUGCUGUCACUUAUAGAUGGAUCCGCGCCGCAUUAGCUAGUUGGUAAGGUAACGGCUUACCAAGGCAACGAUGCGUAGCCGACCUGAGAGGGUGAUCGGCCACACUGGAACUGAGACACGGUCCAGACUCCUACGGGAGGCAGCAGUC